rnacentral:rRNA from 1 species
UGGGGAAUAUUGGACAAUGGGGGCAACCCUGAUCCAGCCAUGCCGCGUGAGUGAAGAAGGCCUUAGGGUUGUAAAGCUCUUUCAGUGGUGAAGAUGAUGACGGUAGCCACAGAAGAAGCCCCGGCUAACUCCGUGCCAGCAGCCGCGGUAAUACGGAGGGGGCAAGCGUUGUUCGGAAUUACUGGGCGUAAAGGGCGCGUAGGCGGAUAUCCAAGUCAGAGGUGAAAGCCCCGGGCUCAACCUGGGAAUUGCCUUUGAAACUGGGUGUCUGGAGUUCGGGAGAGGUGAGCGGAAUUCCCAGUGUAGAGGUGAAAUUCGUAGAUAUUGGGAAGAACACCGGUGGCGAAGGCGGCUCACUGGCCCGCAACUGACGCUGAGGCGCGAAAGCGUGGGGAGCAAACAGGAUUAGAUACCCCCGUAGUCC